rnacentral:rRNA from 1 species
AUACGUAGGGGGCGAGCGUUGUCCGGAAUCACUGGGCGUAAAGGGCGCGUAGGCGGUUUGUUAAGUCAGGUGUGAAAGUUUUCGGCUCAACCGGAAAAGUGCACUUGAAACUAACUAACUUGAGUACUGGAGAGGUAAGCGGAAUUCCUAGUGUAGCGGUGAAAUGCGUAGAUAUUAGGAAGAACACCGGUGGCGAAGGCGGCUUACUGGACAGAGACUGACGCUGAGGCGCGAAAGCGUGGGGAGCGAACAGGAUUAGAUACCCUGGUAGUCCACGCCGUAAACGAUGAGUAUUAGGUGUUGGCGAGAGUCAGUGCCGGAGUUAACACAAUAAAUACUCCGCCUGGGGAGUACGGUCGCAAGACUGAA